rnacentral:rRNA from 1 species
UACGGGGGGGGCAAGCGUUGUUCGGAAUUACUGGGCGUAAAGGGCUCGUAGGCGGCCAACUAAGUCAGACGUGAAAUCCCUCGGCUUAACCGGGGAACUGCGUCUGAUACUGGAUGGCUAGAGUUUGGGAGAGGGAUGCGGAAUUUCAGGUGUAGCGGUGAAAUGCGUAGAUAUCUGGAGGAACACCGGUGGCGAAGGCGGCAUCCUGGACCAACACUGACGCUGAGGAGCGAAAGCCAGGGGAGCAAACGGG